AGACGAACGAGCGAGAGAGAGCUUGCUUUCUCGAGCGAGUGGCGAACGGGUGAGUAACGCGUGAGGAACCUGCCUCAAAGAGGGGGACAACAGUUGGAAACGACUGCUAAUACCGCAUAAGCCCACGGGUCGGCAUCGACCAGAGGGAAAAGGAGCAAUCCGCUUUGAGAUGGCCUCGCGUCCGAUUAGCUAGUUGGUGAGGUAACGGCCCACCAAGGCGACGAUCGGUAGCCGGACUGAGAGGUUGAACGGCCACAUUGGGACUGAGACACGGCCCAGACUCCUACGGGAGGCAGCAGUGGGGAAUAUUGCACAAUGGGGAAACCCUGAUGCAGCGACGCCGCGUGGAGGAAGAAGGUCUUCGGAUUGUAAACUCCUGUUGUUGGGGAAGAUAAUGACGGUACCCAACAAGGAAGUGACGGCUAACUACGUGCCAGCAGCCGCGGUAAAACGUAGGUCACAAGCGUUGUCCGGAAUUACUGGGUGUAAAGGGAGCGCAGGCGGGAAGACAAGUUGGAAGUGAAAUCUAUGGGCUCAACCCAUAAACUGCUUUCAAAACUGUUUUUCUUGAGUAGUGCAGAGGUAGGCGGAAUUCCCGGUGUAGCGGUGGAAUGCGUAGAUAUCGGGAGGAACACCAGUGGCGAAGGCGGCCUACUGGGCACCAACUGACGCUGAGGCUCGAAAGUGUGGGUAGCAAACAGGAGUAGAUACCCUGGUAGUCCACACCGUAAACGAUGAUUAUUAGGUGUUGGAGGAUCGACCCCUUCAGUGCCGCAGUAACACAAUA
rnacentral:rRNA from 1 species